UCUGAAGGGAAUGGAAAUCUUGUCUGC
rnacentral:piRNA from 1 species